GAUGAACGCUAGCUACAGGCUUAACACAUGCAAGUCGAGGGGAAACGAUGAGAGAGCUUGCUCUCUUAGUCGUCGACCGGCGCACGGGUGAGUAACGCGUAUCCAACCUGCCUCUGACCAAGGGAUAACCCGUCGAAAGUCGGACUAAUACCUUAUGCAGUCGUCGGAAGUCAUCUGAUGACGACGAAAGAUUUCAUCGGUGAGAGAUGGGGAUGCGUCUGAUUAGCUUGUUGGCGGGGUAACGGCCCACCAAGGCGACGAUCAGUGGGGGUUCUGAGAGGAAGGUCCCCCACAUUGGAACUGAGACACGGUCCAAACUCCUACGGGAGGCAGCAGUGAGGAAUAUUGGUCGAUGGGCGUAAGCCUGAACCAGCCAAGUAGCGUGCAGGAUGACGGCCCUAUGGGUUGUAAACUGCUUUUAUGCGGGGAUAAAGUGAGGGACGUGUCCUUCAUUGCAGGUACCGCAUGAAUAAGGACCGGCUAAUUCCGUG
rnacentral:rRNA from 1 species